UGACCGCAACGAGUGGCUCGGACGGCAGGCGCGGGUGCUCGGUCGCGGGACCGAGUGGGGUCGGGCCGGGCUCCACGCUGAGCGCGGCCCGGAGCAGCGCGAGUCGCAGCCCGAGUCCGAGGCGGAGUCCCUACCCCUUGUACACGCUGUACGCGCAGCGGGACUACAGCCGGUCGGAGAGCUACGGGCGGUCGGGCCGGAGCCGCGGACACAGCCCCGCGUACGCGUGACCACCGACCUCGCACGAUGGAGUCUAACAGGACAGACUGACCGAUCGGUGUACGGAGCUGUCCCGCGCCACUCGUAGCGUUACGUCAAUGAUCUCACCGUCGCGUGUUGGUGCGUGAGCGGCACCAUCAACACCAGCGACGACAACAACGAAUACUCGAUAUCGUCGUAGGUUAACGAACAAUCGACGGAUCAGUGCCUACAAGCUAACGGAGGAGUUUUAGCUAACUUUUCUGGAACUUUGGGUGUACAGUGGAGAGUGUAUUCAGUGGACAUAUGUUGGGGUAACUGUUUGUUGCAAGCUUUUAUUUGACGCGUUGAUUUUCCACUGUUAAAACAGGAAAUUAAUUAAAAGUUAGUUUCAAGGUUAUUCGAAAUUCCCCUGAAUGAUGUCAGGUGUUAAGAUAUAUUUUAUUAUCUUUACAUAUUUUGUAACUAGUUGACGUGUAUGUGCCAGUGACUGGCAAAAGGGCUGGACCCGUUUUGAUGAUUUUUGUGUGCGUUUGAUCGUCUGGGACGAUUAGAUUAGACCCAAUGUAUACACAUUUAACGUUUGAGGACUAAUUUUGAUUCUAUUUAAGUCUAAAUAGUAUUCAUUCAAGUGGAUUCUUAUAAGAGUCAACUGUUACACGGGCCACAAGUUCUGUAAGUAGAUUCUACUGCAAAGAACCGUCAAGAAACUACAGUAAUCAGUUACCCCAACAUUGUAUAUGUCAGAGAACUAUGAAUGUUAUCACUUAAAUUUGGAGCCGAAACCAAUACAGGCCGGAAUCGAAACUGCCGUCAUAAUAUUAAUGUCGACCACUUAAGAGAUAUGAUUUUUAUGUAUAAAUGUAUUCGCCAUUUUUUUCUGUGUGUUUAUUUUUAACCGACUUCAAAGACUUGUAAAUAAAUAGUGUUGGAACGAAGUUGCUUCCGCUAUACGAAACGAAAACGAUAAAUUUCUUAUUAAAAUAUUCCGUGUGGAUUAAAACGUUAACAAAAAAUGCGUUUUGAAUAUUAUAUAAAAUCAUAUUGAUGAC